rnacentral:pre_miRNA from 1 species
UAUAAAUGCAGCCAUAAAGUUUUACUUUAUGUUCACUUUGAUCGUCUGUCUUAUUUAAUUUUUUUUAUGAUUAGUAUUUUUAUUGUUAUUAGAUGAUGAAAUAUAAAUAGCUUAUAUUUUUUAUUUUUUUUAAAAAAAAUUAAGACGAACUAUUAAAGUUGAACAUGGAAACUUAUUACUGCACUUAAA